rnacentral:rRNA from 1 species
CACGUAGGGCGCAAGCGUUGUCCGGAAUUAUUGGGCGUAAAGAGCUCGUAGGCGGUCUGUUGCGUCCGCUGUGAAAACUCGGGGCUUAACCCCGAGCCUGCAGUGGAUACGGGCAGACUAGAGUGCGGUAGGGGAGAUUGGAAUUCCUGGUGUAGCGGUGGAAUGCGCAGAUAUCAGGAGGAACACCGAUGGCGAAGGCAGAUCUCUGGGCCGUAACUGACGCUGAGGAGCGAAAGCGUGGGGAGCGAACAGG